CCUGUAAUAUUGGUUAAACCUGAAAGAGAGGCAGAUUAUCUGCAAGCCAUGAAAUACUAUGAUAUCAGGCAUUUCUUCACAAACUUUUAGGUUUACUCCUGCUUUACAUAAGUCUUGGGCAGCUGCAAAAAAUUCUUCCUAGCUUGGCUGACCUAAAUAUCAUUUUUUUAAAAAAAUAUAUUUCGUAUUUCUAAAUUGCCCAUCUCCCUCAGAGUCCCAGAUGGCAGGCUUGAACCAAGGGCCCCAAGCUCUUUCUUUUCCUUGUUCAGAAAACACAGACAGGACAACACAAAGUAUGUAGUAUAGUGCUGCUGGGAGCUAUUUUUGUACCCCCUCACUUGUCAAGCUGUUGUAUAUGGAGUUGAGAUCUUCACUAAGCUUUCCAACGUGACCUCCAAGAUCUUUUUUCAGAUUGGAGACAGAGCAUGGUUUGAUAGUUCAGUGCAAAACAUGACAAGCUGAAAGCUAUAUCCAUGAGAGCACAAUGGAUUGACAGGAGUGAAUCAAGAUUUGGAGAACAAAGAAAAAGACGUUCAAGAUUCAGGAGAGCCAGAUGAAAAGUGGGGCAAAUCUACUAGCAAAUGAGAAAAAUACAGUUACUUGUCAUUAUAUGGGUGUUUGCAAAGGAAUAAAUUCCAUGUCUAAAGCUCCUAGUCUCCCUUCUCCUGCAAAAGCAACAAAACUUUGAUUAGUACUGGACAUUUGUGCCUUGGCUGUUGUAUGUCAGAGAUUAAAUUCUGGUAAUAAUU